rnacentral:rRNA from 1 species
UACGUAGGGUGCUAGCGUUGUUCGGAAUCAUUGGGCGUAAAGCGCGUGUAGGCUGUUAGUAAAGUCGGGUGUGAAAUCCCUGGGCUCAACCGAGGAAGUGCAUUCGAAACUUACUAGCUAGAGAAUGGUAGAGGAAGGUGGAAUUCCAAGUGUAGAGGUGAAAUUCGUAGAUAUUUGGAGGAAUACCGGUGGCGAAGGCGGCCUUCUGGACCAUUUCUGACGCUGAGACGCGAAAGCGUGGGGAGCAAACAGGAUUAGAUACCCUUGUAGU